rnacentral:rRNA from 1 species
GGAGUUUGGGCCGUGUCUCAGUCCCAAUGUGGCCGAUCACUCUCUCAAGUCGGCUACUGAUCGUUGCCUUGGUAGGCCGUUACCCUGCCAACUAGCUAAUCAGACGCGGGUCCAUCCUGUACCACCGGAGUUUUUCACACUAAGGGAUGUCCCUUCGUGCGCUUAUGCGGUAUUAGCAGUCAUUUCUGACUGUUAUCCCCCUGUACAGGGCAGGUUACCCACGCGUUACUCACCCGUCCGCCACUCAGUCACUGAAGCAUCACCCGAAGGAUCUGCCAAAGUGCUUCGUUCGACUUGCAUGUGUUAGGCACGCCGCCAGCGUUCAUC